rnacentral:misc_RNA from 1 species
GCAUUACUCUCCAAUUAAAGCCUUUUAACUAUUUAAUUCAGCUACUUUGAAGGGUUCUCUUUAUUUUCAUUCUAUGAAUUAGCUCUAAACUUUGAACUGAUCACACAAUUCCCUUUUCACUUCAAUGGACUUUGGUCAAAGAAGUCGUAUGAUGUAGGGCAUUUGUUGGAACUAUACUGAUUACAUAUCUAAACACUUCAUUUUAGUUUUCUGCCACUUCAACUCCAUGUGACUUAGUUUUCUGCUAUU